CUGUGGAGGCGGUGAGGACGCUGUGGGGACAGUGAGGACACUGUGGGGACGGUGAGGACGCUGUGGACAGUCAAGAGGCUGUGGAGGCAAUGGGGACGCUGUGGGGGCGGUGAGGACGCUGUGGGGACAGUGAGGAUGCUUUGGGGGUGGUGAGAACACUGUAGGCAGUGAAGACAGUCCCAGCAGUGCGCCUUGUCAUCUGAGCAUAUUCAGGGGCUGGUUCUUGUGGACAGUGCCGGCCAUGAGGACACCAAGAGCAUUUCAAGGGUUGCGUUUCCUGAUGCAGGGACUGCAGCGUUGGCAGCGUUCAGUUCACUAGGGGAGCGUUGGGGCAGGUGACCAGGAUUGGUUCGGGUCUGUUGCUCCAUCCGGGACUCCCUGGACCAUCGGAGUGAGAAGACGGCCUCUAUGUGACAGAGUCAUGUGCGGUGGGGGUUCUUGGAGGGCCCCACAGCGAUGAGUGGACCUCAGGGGUUGCAGGGUCUCUGGAAUCGUUGUGUUCUGGAGUGAACCUGCUCCCCCACAGGCUCCACCAACACCCCCAAACCCUCCUCCUUCCAUCCCUCCCCAUCCCACAGCAGCAGCCCCAGACCCCUUCUGCCAGGGCUCAGGGCUGGCAGCCUGCUUCUGCCAGCUAAGAGCCGUUCCUGUCCCUGCCCACAGCCGCUGCCUUCCCCAGUCUCUCAGGCUGCGCCACACAGGGCCUGCAUACUGUUCCUUCUGCCUGGUACAAGGUACCCUCCAUGCCACUGCUCCUUGCUCAUCUCCUGUGCCUCUGGCGAGUCCCCCACCGGGCCACCACUUCCCAACUGCCCAGACCAGCAAGGGACUUCUCAGAGUUCUUCAGUCUCUGGCCUCCCACUGCCCUGCCUGGAUUCUGGAACCGAGCAAACAGACAGGAAACGUCUGCAGGGAGCAACUCUGUGUCCUCAUCAGGAGACCCCCGGUUGCUGGCCCCUCAGGAACUAGGGGUCAGCGUGUCCUACCCAGUGAAGCCCUCCUGGGGGUCUUCUCUGCCCACAGGAAAUGCCUCCUUUUAUCCUGUCUUCCUGUCACCACCACCCCCCAGGGUGCUGAGGGCCAGCUGGACAAAAGGUGGUGAGAGAUGGGCCAGGUGGGUCCCCCGCAGGUGAGUGCACCCCACACACAUACACACAGGGCAGGUGCAGAGUCAGUACCCAGUGGGAGAGGCUUGAGAGGGCCUGGGGGAGUGCUCCCUGGAGCUGUGGGGUGUGCUCAGCACCCUAGUUCUAGCUGGGCCAGCCUCAGCAACCCCUGUCCAGGGUCCAUCCUACAGAUGGCUCCCAGGGUUCCCACAGCGGGCAUAAGGGCAUUGUACACAAGGAAACACAGAUGUCCACCGUGACAUCACCCCAGCUUGUCUCAAAGAGCCAUGGGGUUGGGGAUGGGGGCUGCUCCUUGUCUAGAAAGACCUUCAGAGAUGUUGGAAUUCUGUGCCUGAGACAGGCACUGACUGUCCCUGGGCUGGCCUGGGCCUGGUCACCUGGACUGUCACCUUCAUCCUCAGAGCAAACCCUUGAGUCUAGCACUAGCGACGUCUCAGGUGAGGGUUCAGAGUGUGCAGCAGCUGGAGGUAUGCUCAGCUCAGCCUGUAGGAGGGUCUGGCUUUUCCAGAAUGUCCCAGGGAGAAGAGCGCCAGGGGAGUAGGGUGCUGGGGUGUGCAGGGGAGCCCAUCUCCCGUCAUCCAUUCACGUUCAAUCAUUCAGACCAGUGUGCAGACCUGUCUAGAGCCUGCCAGCUGCCAGGGUCAAGGGCUGGGGGGUUGCAGAUCCCUUGGCCCCAGACCCCCACCUGGCAGAGGCACUUUACUCAUCUUCCAUCCCUCCUGAGAGGGCCAGCUCCCUCCUGAGAGGGCCAGCUCCCUUCUCCCAACACUGGGAUUCCCCCUAGUACGAAGUCCUUUGGGGCUCACCUAGGUGUAUUUAAGCAUGUCUGACAAAUUGAGGGACUCCAGGCCUAACAGACUGGAAAGGGGCCGGGAAGGCGAGGGCUCACUCAACCACAGGGGCCAGUCUGCCUUGCCCUCCCCAGGCCGCCCAGGUGUGACUCUCUCCACUGUGUUUGUCCCAGCCACACAGGACCUUAGGGCCAGCCCUGCAAGGUCACUGCACUCCUGGUGGGGUACAGGAACUCUCAAAAAUCGGAGGAUCUGGAAGGGAAGCCAUUGAACUUUGCCUGAUGGACCCAUGGGAUGUGGGGGCACAGACUCCAGGGGUGCCAGGUGCCGUGCGCUGCCAUGGAUGUCUCUGGGAUAUCAGUCAGCCCCUUCUCUGUGGGCCAAGGAGCCACUGCUAACAGGAGUUGUCCCAGAGGGUCACACUCUUGAGUCUCUUGUGGCAAGGUCAACAGGAGGACCAGCUGGAGCACAGAGAGCAUCCCCAGAUCACAGGCAGAAGGGUGUUUCCUGCUAAGGCCAGCCGGAAGACUCCACAGACCUCCCAAGUCCUGGCUAGACUCAAUCCUGCUGUUAUAAGUCCCCCCAGGUCCUCCCUGAAUCCUCCCAGAGCCAUCCCUGAAUCUUCCCGAAUGCUCCCUGAAUCCUCCCCAUGUUGUCUCCUGGAGUCCUCCCAGUCCUUCCUGGAUCCUCUCCACAUCCUUCCUGAGUGCUCCCAGAAUCUUCCUGCAGUCCUACCCGUGUUCUCUCAGGCGUGGGUUGCUGUACCUGGAUUGGCCCUAGCAGGUGACUCGGGCUGGAGUUUUGUUGACACCAGUGGAGCCACAAGCCUGCUGUGCACAGGUGUGAUGGCAGGCCUGUGAGGGUUCGGGGCUGCAUGGCCUUGCUCCCUUUGCACUGGCGUCUGGAUGUGCUCAGAGGCCGCCUGGGUCCCCAGGCCUCUGGGACAAGGCCAGUCAAGUCUCAAAAACAGGUAGGACCCCAAGCAGAGCCAAGGCAUCACCAGCCCCAGCCCUUGUUCCCGUGUGCCCCAUCUCCCAAAGCACUCCCCUGUGUCAUGCGGUACCAGCUCUGCCUCUGACUCCCCAUGCAGUGGCCCUAAGGCUACUCCCUGCCAGUGUCCUCCUGGGCCUCCUGGGGCGGGCAAGAACCUGCUCACACAGCUACAUGCACAGCAAGCAUCAGAGGGUCUCCUUCCCUGGGAGACACCACAGCCCCACAGUGGGUCACCCUCAAGGCUAACCACUCAGCUUCUGGGUGGCAAGCCUGCAGAGUGGCCCCAGGCAUGCCGGGCCACCUUCUAAGUGUGCCAGUCCCACCACUGUAUGUGUGUGUGGGUGUGCCAGAGAUGUGCAGUCACACCUCCGUCUGUGUCCCAUGUUCCCAUGAAUGGGUCCUCACACCUCUUGCCCCGCCUCCCUGCCGUGUGCCCCUCGUAGCAGCUUGGCCCUGCCCGCUGCACCAUGUGUACACAGAGGCUUAUUUUCUCUGCCUUUCAGGCCAGGGGUGUGCUCGUAAAUUGUGCAGUCGAUGACACAUUUAUCCCGCGGGCGGCUGGCGGUGUGAAUUUAUGGCUGCACCCCCUUCCUGGCUGAGGCAGGACAGGGGCCGGGAUACCUCUCAGGCAGGAACCUCCAGUCCACUCCACUGGGCUGCUGUGGGGCCAUGGGGGCAGGGGCUGGGCCAGGAGGGCUUAGGAGUGCUCCCAAGGUCUUGUCUUGCACAGAAACCCUGCAACUUCAGGGUGCUUGGGGCAAUGAGAGGCGAAGCCACUCUGCCUGGGUGAGGGCUGAGGGCACAGUGGCUGCCCGCCUGCCAGAGGCGUGGAGGCGCAGAGCCCAGCCUAAUAUCCCAGCCUCCAUGCUCGCUUCCAGUUGGCUCCUCAUCUUCCCACCUGUGAAAGAGGGGACAACUUGGAUGCCCCAGGGAGAGCAGGUGUGGGGGUGGCUCCCCUCAGGUGCUGAGUCAGCCACCCACUGCCACUGGGCCCGCUGGGAGUAUUGAGAUUUGGGGAGGACUGUCAGAAAGGGUGGGGACCUCGAGGGCAGCUGGGGCUGCACACAGGGAAGAGGAGCAGAGAUACUGUCGAAUCAGAGCAGAGAGCCCCUCAGAGCUCACCUGCCCUCCUCUGCCUUGUAAAGAUGGGAAAACUGAGGCCCAGGGAGAGCAGAGGUCCCAGGCCACAUGGGUAGGAUAACAGAGCCUCAAGAUCCUGGAUUCCUGCUCCCUAGUAUGCAAUAAGGGGGGUCCUAGGCACACCCCUCCCCAUGGAGCCGCCUUUGUCCUGCAAAGUCUGGAGGUGGGGCCUCUGGCUGAAGGCUCAACAGGGAGCUGAUAAAGCAAGUUGGCAAGUUGGUCCCAUCAGGGCCACAGCUGGGGGCUGGGACCUGGCUGCCUCCCCUCCGUCCGUCGGUCUGUCUGUGUGCAGGGUCGGGUCUCCAGGGGACCCUCUGUCGGCUCUCAAGCUCCCUCCCAUCUCGGCCCCAGCCCCCCCUCACCGCCCGCUGUCAGGAUGAGCGAUGGCCGUGCCCCUCCCCGGCCCUCGGCCCCAGGCCCGGUUCCCGCUCAUUAGCUGCUGACACUGUUUGCUUUCCCGCCCUGGACGCCCACCCCGUCACAGGCCAUUUCUCCCGGCGCCCCCCACCCCUGAGGACCUGCCCAGGGGUCCAGGGUGCCGGGUCGAAGGGACUGCCGGGUGCCAGGCAGGACCUGCAUUAUGCUUCCAGAGCAAUGGCCACAUGGAGUGCCAGCCCCACCCUCACCUGCACCCCAAGAGAUGGGGAGCCACGGGCCACCCUGAGUCUCGCAUGGCCCUGCCCACAUCACACAGGCCAGACACAGCCGCAGUGAGACUGGGCCGUGCCUUGCAGCUUGGAUGGCUUGGUGCUGCACAUGCUGGGAGGGUCUCUGAUGACAAGUACCGGGCCCACUGUACCCAUCUUUGUCUCUCUUUGUCACUGCCCCUAUUUCUGUCUUUGUCCCUCUCCUUGGUCUCUGCCCCUAGAGACCAAGUGGAAUGACCUUGGAAUGACCACUGAGCCACCAGCCUAUUCAGAAAGUACAUCCCUCACCUGGAGCCCCUCUGUCCCCUCAGGCAGCCCCGGUACACAGCCUAGGGGGUGGGUCCUGAAGCAGCAGGCACCCCUCCCUCCCGCACCACCCCCGCCCCCAAUAUGGCCACAGCUGGGCGGCAUCAGGGCCCGCAGGCCAGUGGCAGCCAGUCCUUCACUUAAAAAUGUGUUUGUGAUUUCGGCGGGGAGGCAGAUAACGGUGACGAAUGGCCCGCCUGCCCCCCAGGGCCCUCAGCCCAUCUGGUUUGACUUUGGCCUGUCGGCAGUGCCCUUGGGCCUCACCCCUGCCCUCUGGCAGUGCCCUCCGAGUAAGGCACCCCUCAGCCUUUGCACACUCUGGUCCCUUUGCUGGAAACGCCCCUCCUCUCCACCCAUCUGUCCCCACAUCAUGGGCUCCCCUGGCUAUGCCCAUAGGAGCCACCCAUGCAACAGUCAGGGUGGCAGGCCCUGGGCAGUGCUGGAGUUUGCAGGAUGGGGGAGGGCACAGGUCCAGCAGGGAGGGGGCAUGCCUUGCCUGGGCCCUGCAUCCCCUCUGUCCAGUAGGGAAUAGUGAGUGCCCACCUGAGGCCAGAGGAGCCGAGGCUAAGGUGAUGGAGUGGGCCGGGACUGAGAGAGGUGGCCCGGCGGCCAGGGCAGCGCCUAGCCCUGUGAGACAGCCCAUGUGGUCAUUGUCAGGAGGAAUUUCUGACAGGGCUCGGGACCCUCCUGACCAUUGAUUAUCCAAGCAGGAGGAGUGGCUUCCGGGUCCGGCCAUGAGCUCAGCUGGGAGGUCACUGAGGUCAAGCCCGAGUGCCCCUCCUCCUCCAGUCUCCCCUUCUACUCCCUUGGGGCUCCCCAGUUGGGCAGAGGUGCCUGGAAGGUUGCUCCUGCCCAGUUUGAAUCCUGGCCGGCUACCACAGGGAGUGGUCAGGGGUCCACUAGGGACUGGGGCUCAUGCAUUCCUUAGCACAACUUCCCAAUCAACCCCUACUUGCCCAGGUCACAGACAGGAGUCAGACCUGGCCCUCAGAGAGGAGACAAGGAGAGGUGGGGGUGCUUAGAGCUCCCCUGGCCCAUCUCAGGGGUUGGGGAGGGGCUUGUGUAGAGGGAAGGCAUUCGGGCAGGAUGGAGGAGGCAGCCCUCCAUGGGGUUCUGGGGUCGCCUCUAGGAGAGGCACUGCUCCAUUCCCCACUGCACCCUCCAGGCCCACUCCCUGCCCUGUGGCGAGGACAGCUGUAGGGGGAGGGGAGGGGCGGCGCUGUAUCAGGACCCCCACCCCCUCCUCCAAAGCAGGAAAAUCCCUCUCCCUUAGUAUCACAUUGUUGAGAAUUAACUUUGUUGAAAUAAAAAUUGGUCGUGGUAUUAA